GACAGAGGUCCCGAGCGUUAGGCGGAAUCACUGGGCUUAAAGCGUGUGUAGGCGGCGGCCUAAGUACCUUGUGAAAUCCCACGGCUCACCCGUGGAACUGCUCGGUAUACUGGGUCGCUUGAGCCACUUAGGGGCUACCGGAACAAAUGGUGGAGCGGUGAAAUGCGUAGAGAUCCGGAGGAACACCGAAGGCGAAGGCAGUGUCCUGGCGCGCAUCUGACGCUGAGGCGCGAAAGCCAGGGGAGCGAACGGGG
rnacentral:rRNA from 1 species